CACGUAGGGCGCAAGCGUUGUCCGGAAUUCUUGGGCGUAAAGAGCUCGUAGGCGGUCCGUCACGUCCGCUGUGAAAACCCAGGGCUCAACCCUGGGCUUGCAGUGGAUACGGGCAGACUAGAGGUAGGUAGGGGAGAAUGGAAUUCCCGGUGUAGCGGUGAAAUGCGCAGAUAUCGGGAGGAACACCGGUGGCGAAGGCGGUUCUCUGGGCCUUACCUGACGCUGAGGAGCGAAAGCGUGGGGAGCGAACAGG
rnacentral:rRNA from 1 species